AGGACGAACGCUGGCGGCGUGCUUAACACAUGCAAGUCGAGCGAGGCCCGUUCCUUCGGGAGCGGUGCCCUAGCGGCGAACGGGUGAAUAACACGUGGGCAACCUGCCCCUAGCACUGGGAUAACUCCGGGAAACCGGGGCUAAUACCGGAUACGACCUCUGAGGGCAUCCUCCGGAGGUGGAAAAGAUUCUGGCUAGGGAUGGGCCCGCGGCCUAUCAGCUUGUUGGUGGGGUAACGGCCUACCAAGGCGACGACGGGUAGCCGGCCUGAGAGGGCGACCGGCCACACUGGGACUGAGACACGGCCCAGACUCCUACGGGAGGCAGCAGUGGGGAAUAUUGCACAAUGGGCGAAAGCCUGAUGCAGCGACGCCGCGUGAGGGAUGACGGCCUUCGGGUUGUAAACCUCUUUCAGCAGGGACGAAGCGAAAGUGACGGUACCUGCAGAAGAAGCACCGGCCAACUACGCGCCAGCAGCCGCGGUAA
rnacentral:rRNA from 1 species